rnacentral:rRNA from 1 species
UAACCAUGCAAGUCGAGCGGUAGCACAGAGAGCUUGCUCUCGGGUGACGAGCGGCGGACGGGUGAGUAAUGUCUGGGAAACUGCCUGAUGGAGGGGGAUAACUACUGGAAACGGUAGCUAAUACCGCAUAAUGUCGCAAGACCAAAGUGGGGGACCUUCGGGCCUCAUGCCAUCAGAUGUGCCCAGAUGGGAUUAGCUAGUAGGUGGGGUAACGGCUCACCUAGGCGACGAUCCCUAGCUGGUCUGAGAGGAUGACCAGCCACACUGGAACUGAGACACGGUCCAGACUCCUACGGGAGGCAGCAGUGGGGAAUAUUGCACAAUGGGCGCAAGCCUGAUGCAGCCAUGCCGCGUGUGUGAAGAAGGCCUUCGGGUUGUAAAGCACUUUCAGCGGGGAGGAAGGCGUUAAGGUUAAUAACCUUGUCGAUUGACGUUACCCGCAGAAGAAGCACCGGCUAACUCCGUGCCAGCAGCCGCGGUAAUACGGAGGGUGCAAGCGUUAAUCGGAAUUACUGGGCGUAAAGCGCACGCAGGCGGUCUGUCAAGUCGGAUGUGAAAUCCCCGGGCUCAACCUGGGAACUGCAUUCGAAACUGGCAGGCUAGAGUCUUGUAGAGGGGGGUAGAAUUCCAGGUGUAGCGGUGAAAUGCGUAGAGAUCUGGAGGAAUACCGGUGGCGAAGGCGGCCCCCUGGACAAAGACUGACGCUCAGGUGCGAAAGCGUGGGGAGCAAACAGGAUUAGAUACCCUGGUAGUCCACGCCGUAAACGAUGUCGAUUUGGAGGUUGUGCCCUUGAGGCGUGGCUUCCGGAGCUAACGCGUUAAAUCGACCGCCUGGGGAGUACGGCCGCAAGGUUAAAACUCAAAUGAAUUGACGGGGGCCCGCACAAGCGGUGGAGCAUGUGGUUUAAUUCGAUGCAACGCGAAGAACCUUACCUGGUCUUGACAUCCACAGAACUUUCCAGAGAUGGAUUGGUGCCUUCGGGAACUGUGAGACAGGUGCUGCAUGGCUGUCGUCAGCUCGUGUUGUGAAAUGUUGGGUUAAGUCCCGCAACGAGCGCAACCCUUAUCCUUUGUUGCCAGCGGUUAGGCCGGGAACUCAAAGGAGACUGCCAGUGAUAAACUGGAGGAAGGUGGGGAUGACGUCAAGUCAUCAUGGCCCUUACGACCAGGGCUACACACGUGCUACAAUGGCAUAUACAAAGAGAAGCGACCUCGCGAGAGCAAGCGGACCUCAUAAAGUAUGUCGUAGUCCGGAUUGGAGUCUGCAACUCGACUCCAUGAAGUCGGAAUCGCUAGUAAUCGUAGAUCAGAAUGCUACGGUGAAUACGUUCCCGGGCCUUGUACACACCGCCCGUCACACCAUGGGAGUGGGUUGCAAAAGAAGUAGGUAGCUUAACCUUCGGGAGGGCGCUAACCACUU